CGAAAGCCUGACGCAGCCAUGCCGCGUGAAUGAUGAAGGUCUUAGGAUUGUAAAAUUCUUUCACCGGGGACGAUAAUGACGGUACCCGGAGAAGAAGCCCCGGCUAACUUCGUGCCAGCAGCCGCGGUAAUACGAAGGGGGCUAGCGUUGCUCGGAAUUAUUGGGCGUAAAGCGCGCGCAGGCGGUUCCUUAAGUCUGAUGUGAAAGCCCACGGCUCAACCGUGGAGGGUCAUUGGAAACUGGGGAACUUGAGUGCAGAAGAGGAAAGCGGAAUUCCACGUGUAGCGGUGAAAUGCGUAGAUAUGCGGAGGAACACCGAUGGCGAAGGCAAUCCCCUGGGCCUGUACUGACGCUCAUGCACGAAAGCGUGGGGAGCAAACAGGAUUAGAUACCCUGGUAGUCCACGCCCUAAACGAUGUCAACUGGUUGUUGGGUCUUAACUGACUCAGUAACGAAGCUAACGCGUGAAGUUGACCGCCUG
rnacentral:rRNA from 1 species